rnacentral:lncRNA from 1 species
GUUCUCGGUGUCACACUCAAUCCAAUUGAUAAUCAUUCACAGAUAUCCUACCAUUCAUCUAACCAGACCGGUUAAGUGUACUCUAAAAUCCUACGUUUAAUUCUUUCUAUCCAUCCUAGCUCUCAAUCACAAACAAAAAGGUCUUCAACCAAUCAAUCAAUCAAUCAUUCAUCAUUACAACCAGUUAAUUUACAAUAUCUAAUCAGUAUGAGUGUUCCGAUGCAAUAUGAUCUAUCAACCUAACAACAACCAGAAUCUACUCAAUCCUAGCUCCCC